AGGCGCUUGCGCUAUGCUCGUGGGCGUCGCCCAAGGAUGGGGCCGCGACCGAUCAGGUUGUUGGUGAGGUAAUGGCUCACCAAGCCGUUUACCGGUACGGGCCGUGAGAGCGGGAGCCCGGAUAUGGGCACUGAGACAAGGGCCCAGGCCCUACGGGGCGCACCAGUCGCGCAAACUUUGCAAUACACGAAAGUGUGACAGGGCUAUCCCGAGUGCCGCCCGCUGAGGGUGGCUUUUA
rnacentral:rRNA from 1 species